UGAUGACCUCAAAGUAGGGCCACAGGUACAGACUUCAGUACAUGAAUCCGGAGAUGAUGAGUAUCAAGGGGACCAGUCAGACACAGAGGACGAAGUGGACUCUGACUUUGACAUUGAUGAAGGGGAUGAACCAUCCAGUGAUGGAGAAGCAGAAGAGCCAAGAAGGAAGCGCCGAGUAGUCACCAAGGCCUAUAAGGAACCUCUCAAGAGCUUAAGGCCUCGAAAGGUCAACACCCCGGCUGGUAGCUCUCAGAAGGCCCGAGAAGAGAAGGCACUA
rnacentral:sRNA from 1 species